rnacentral:tRNA from 1 species
GGCAAGGUGGCCGAGUGGUCUAAGGCGCACGGUUCAGGUCCGUGUAUCGAAAGGUGCGUGGGUUCGAAUCCCACCCUUGUCA